rfam:Halobacillus halophilus DSM 2266 complete genome
GUUAAAGGAGGAUCGACUAAAAUCGCCACGUCCUGUGGCAACAUCGAUCGACCCUACGUCUUGUAGG